AUUUAGUAAUUGGAAACGUGAAUCAACAAAUUAUUCCUCACGUCUUGCAACGUAAAAACAUGAUUUUUCGGUCACGUUCUUGUUAAAAGAUGCGUGUUUAUUAUGUGUAGAAAUCGUGGCCGCAGAAUGGAAACAAUUUAAGAAAAACAACAGUGUGCUACGCAUCUAGGAACCAAUUAUGUAGAUCUUGCGUGAGGGGGAUCAAAUAUGCGGUUGCACAAUGGAGAGCAACAUGGACAUCAGAAGAACUAAAGAGGACAAAAAACUGCUUGGAAGGCAGAUUAAAGCCAGUCACACAUUAUUGAAACACAAGGGCAUAAGCACAGUGUCACAUCGCACAAAGGAAUACAACCACCAGAAAUCAAAACAUCUGAAAGAAAGGACAACUGGAACUAUGCUGGAGAGCUUCAAACUGAAGAAAAUAAGUCCAACCAACAGGAGGAGCAUGAUAGGAAAAUAAGUGCAGACACAUGAUAAUUCUUCAAAGAAUGGUGUAUAUCAAUAAAUGCAAUUUUAAACUGUACAUUUUAAUGUAAGUUUGAAUUUUUUCAUGCAUGCAGUGAUAAAAGCUGCUAAUAAAACACAUCCGAAGAAUCAUCACUGAAUAUGAAAUGUUUUUGUAAAGCAGUACAAAAUGUUCCUUUAUAUGCUUUCUGGUACAAAACCUCAAUUAAUUACUCUUCUUCUCUGAACUCCCUCACUUCAGCUGGUUUAUGCCUGGAUGAUUUUAACACUUAACAAAUUCUACAUUAAUGCAAUGUAAGCGCCAUAACUAUGUCAAUACAUUAUUACGGUACUAUGUGGUUGUUAUUAGUGCCAAGGUUUAAAAUGUAACAUUACUGUUUACUACAGUAUGCAUACGAGGGUCCCAGGUCCGUCUCACUACAGUACAGCUCAAAAGUUUGGGGUUUUUGAAAGAAGCCUCUUAUGCUCACCAAGGCUGCAUUUAUUAAAAUCCAAAAAUACAGUAAUAUUGUGAAAUAUUAUUACAAUUUAAAAUAACUUUUCUACUCUAACUUUAUCCCUACUUAUUUGUAUUUAUUUAUUUUUUUGUGUGUUUGAAACAGUAAUCUUUUUUUUCCAGGCUUCUUUAAUGAAUACAAUGUUUAAAACAGCAUUAUAAAUGUCACUUUUGAUCAUUUAAACGCAUCCUUGUUUAAUAUAAGUAUUAAUUUCUUUAAAAAAAUAAAAUGAU
ensembl:lncRNA